AUCGCCGAUAUAUCGCUAAAGCUGUCAAGAAAGUUAGCCGGCAGACAGUGCGUUUUUUGUUGUUAUUCUGAGAAGUUCCUUUUACUCCUGGAAAUUCCCUCCUCCAGAAAGUGUGACAAUGGUUGUGGACUUUCAAGCAGCGAUUGGGGCAAUUCAGGAUGCAAAAUUCAGUCCGGAAAUUGAGGAGGAAAAUGAGGACUGCAAAGUUUACGUUACUAACAUUCCCGAUAAGCUGAAGCAUCAGGGAUUGAAGAACUAUUUCACCAAGUUCGGCAAGGUCAGCAAAAUGUACUAUGCUCCUGGGAGCAGAUGGGCAUUUGUCACGUACCAAAACAAGGCAGAAUGCGAAGUGGCCAUUAUGAGGAUCAAUGAGCUCUUUGGGAUGAAAGCGGAAUUUGCAAAGAAGAAGGACAAGGAAGAAGUUGAAGAACUGAUAGAGAACAUUCCUUUUGAGCAGACAGAAUUCAAGGAAGAGGAAAUAACCAAAGUGACUCCUUUCAAAUUGCCAACAUUUGAUUGUGACUUUCCUCCUUUGCCCGUGACUGAAGAAGAUUACAGUCAUCCGGGAUUGCUGGAGUUUGAUCCCAAAAAAGAGUUUUUGCUCACACAUGAUGCAUUUUGGGCUGACAAACUCAAGAGGGACUAUGAGAAGAAGACAGAGAAAACAUGUCAAGAGAAUGGCAUGAAGGAGAAUUCUGUAAAUAAUUUUGUUAUGCAGAAAACGUUAGGAAAGUGCAAGGACUUGAGGGAAUUCCCUCUGAUAAAUUGCAGUAAUUGCAUAAGGAAUAAAGCCGCUUAUCGCUCAAUAAAGGAUUUAUAUUUCUGCUCAGCAAAGUGCCAAAGGAUUUACAAGGACAAUUGCAAGAAGAACAGCAAAGGGAUAAAUCCCCAGGAACCAAAACCCGAAUUCCCACCUAAUAAAUCUUUGGUGACUAUUACAUCAGCCUGCAAUCCCCGAGAACUCUUCUUGCGUUCUCUGGCCUCAAUUCCAAAUGCUAAUUACCUCAAACUCCUCAAUGACGUUCAUGAUUAUGGUAAAACAGCUAAAGAUCUGACUGAACCACCAAAAGCCCAUUCGAUGGUCAUUGCAAGAUGGGGAAAGAUUUUCACGAGGGCUUUUGUGGUGUCUAAUGACUCCUGCACGAAUUUAUCGAAUGUAAUCCUCGUAGAAUUUGGCGAAGUUGAGAGAAUCCCUUGGAUAGAACUCAAGGAAUUGAGUGAGGAAUUAGCAAAAGAGCCAAAAUACAUUUUUCGGUGCAAUUUAAAGAAUGUCAAUGCUUUGGAUUACAACUUUAAAGUAAAGACGUAUUUGGAGCAUUAUAUGAAGUUCUCGGGAUUGGCGGAUAGGAAGGUGGUUUAUGAUGCCUUUGAGGAGGGGAAAAUUCCAGAAAUUACGUUGAUUUCUGAUGAUCUUACGGUAUCGAGCGUCAAUGAUCAUCUGAAAUCAUUGCUUGAGCGAUCAGUUGAGGAUAUCAGAUUGGAUACGAGAUCUUUAAACUUUGUGGAUGAAACUCCAGUUUGGCCUACGAAAGACGUGGAGAUUAUUAUCUUGGACAAUUCAUUUUUGGAUAAGGGGCAAAUAUCUGUGGCUAUUUAUGUGCAGUACAUUGAAUUUCUGCAUCAGUGGAGAUUAAUGCAGGAUCAGUGCGAAUCUCUUGGUGAAAGAUAUGUUCCUCUGCCCGAUGGGAUGUGUCUGGUGAAGCUGGAGGAUGAUGGAAAGUGGCAUAGAGCCAUUUGCUCAGAAACCAGUAAAUUCCGGAUUUUGAGAAUUAUUCUAACGGAUUAUGGCAUAAUGGGAAAUGUUAAUACGGAAAAUAGCAGAAAACUCCCAAUUGACUUUGAUUUCUCGACCCCACUCAAGAUUUGCAAGAUUGAAGGCCUUCCGGAAGAGUUGACGGAGGAAAAGAUUCAGGAACUGAAGAAAAUGUUACCGCAAAACAAACGACUGAUUGCAAAGGAACUUUUGGAGCUUGAGGACUCCUAUUCACUUACCCUCUAUGAUCUUUAGAGCCGAAAGUACCAAAGUAGCAACAGGACAUCAAAUAUCUGAUGCAUUUUAGUUCUACUGAAAAUUCGUUUCGUUACUGUUGUGUCCUUAUUUUAUCACCAAAUUUUAUUCAUGACUCUUUUGAGAACUUUUUCUAAUUAUUUUAUUGAGGCAACAAAAAUUUUAGGUACAAUGAAAUGAAACGGAAAUAUCUGUCAUUUCAUCUUGAAUGCUAAAACAAUGUUAAGGCGGCGGUGGACGACUACAAGAGUUGAGAUUAUUAAAAAUAAUAUUAUAAUGAUAUUUUAGGUUUCAAGGCUUAGACAGGAACCGUUGUGUGGGUUGUGUGCAACAGAUUUAAUCCAAUAAGCACCUUGUUUGUUUGAGAAUUCCGAAAAUAUCAUUCGCCAUUGUUUCACAAAUCAUACCGAUAUGUUUUCGAUUUAAACGUGUUCACAUAUUAAUCUAAAAACAAACAAGAAGCAAAAUUUAAAAAAAAAUCGAUUAAGAUAUCGAACUUAUAAGGCUUGAAACUUAGGAUUAUAGUAAGUGAGAUUGUUGAGAAUCUCACAUAGUGGUAUUAUAUAUUGUGAAGCAGAGUACAACACGAUUUUGUCGAAAAUGAAAACAAGAUAAUAUUUUUAAGCUUUAGAAAUGAGAUAUAUUAAAAAUGUAUAAUAAGCUUGCUUAAACUUUCGAAAAACUAAGAUUAAUUGGAAAUCAGAUGUAUCGAAAAGCAUUUGAAGAAUUUUCAAGUAUUUGAACGAUCUAUAAUAAGCGUGCAAGUUUACUAAAAGCGUAAAUGUGUAAACG